rnacentral:rRNA from 1 species
UCCGGUGGUGAUAGCGACGAGGCCACACCCGUUCCCAUUUCGAACACGGAAGUUAAGCUCGUUAGCGCCGAUGGUACUUGGGGGUAGACCCCCUGGGAGAGUAGGACGCCGCCGGAU